UACGUAGGGUGCAAGCGUUAAUCGGAAUUACUGGGCGUAAAGCGUGCGCAGGCGGUCUUUUAAGUCAGAUGUGAAAUCCCCGGGCUUAACCUGGGAACUGCGUUUGAAACUGGAAGGCUAGAGUGUGGCAGAGGGGGGUGGAAUUCCACGUGUAGCAGUGAAAUGCGUAGAGAUGUGGAGGAACACCGAUGGCGAAGGCAGCCCCCUGGGCUAACACUGACGCUCAUGCACGAAAGCGUGGGGAGCAAACAGG
rnacentral:rRNA from 1 species